UACGUAGGGUGCGAGCGUUGCCCGGAUUUAUUGGGCGUAAAGGGCGCGUAGGCGGCUCGGCACGUCCGUUGUGAAAUGCCGGGGCUCAACCCCGGGACUGCGUCCGAUACUCCCGAGCUGGAGGCAGGUAGGGGAGAUCGGAAUUCCUGGUGUAGCGGUGAAAUGCGCAGAUAUCAGGAGGAACACCGGUGGCGAAGGCGGAUCUCUGGGCCUUGCCUGACGCUGAGGCGCGAAAGCCAGGGGAGCAAACGGG
rnacentral:rRNA from 1 species